rnacentral:rRNA from 1 species
AUUGAACGCUGGCGGCAGGCCUAACACAUGCAAGUCGAGCGGUAACACAGGGAGCUUGCUCCCGGGUGACGAGCGGCGGACGGGUGAGUAAUGUCUGGGAAACUGCCUGAUGGAGGGGGAUAACUACUGGAAACGGUAGCUAAUACCGCAUAACGUCGCAAGACCAAAGAGGGGGACCUUCGGGCCUCUUGCCAUCAGGUGUGCCCAGAUGGGAUUAGCUAGUAGGUGGGGUAACGGCUCACCUAGGCGACGAUCCCUAGCUGGUCUGAGAGGAUGACCAGCCACACUGGGACUGAGACACGGUCCAGACUCCUACGGGAGGCAGCAGUGGGGAAUAUUGCACAAUGGGCGCAAGCCUGAUGCAGCCAUGCCGCGUGUAUGAAGAAGGCCUUCGGGUUGUAAAGUACUUUCAGCGGGGAGGAAGGGGUUGAGUUUAAUACGCUCAAUCAUUGACGUUACCCGCAGAAGAAGCACCGGCUAACUCCGUGCCAGCAGCCGCCGUAAAAC